rnacentral:rRNA from 1 species
ACUCAAAUGAAUAGACGGGGACCCGCACAAGCGGUGGAGCAUGUGGUUUAAUUCGAGGCAACGCGAAGAACCUUACCAGGCCUUGACAUGUCGGUCGCGGGGAGCAGAGACGCUCUCCUUCAGUUUGGCUGGACCGAACACAGGUGCUGCAUGGCUGUCGUCAGCUCGUGUCGUGAGAUGUUGGGUUAAGUCCCGCAACGAGCGCAACCCUCGUCCUUAGUUGCCAUCAGGUUAUGCUGGGAACUCUAAGGAAACCGCCGGCGUUAAGCCGGAGGAAGGUGGGGAUGACGUCAAGUCUUCAUGGCCCUUACGGCCUGGGCUACACACGUGCUACAAUGGCGGUGACAGUGGGCUGCAACCUAGCAAUAGGUAGCUAAUCCCAAAAAACCGUCUCAGUUCGGAUUGUCCUCUGCAACUCGAGGGCAUGAAGUUGGAAUCGCUAGUAAUCGCAGAUCAGCACGCUGCGGUGAAUACGUUCCCGGGUCUUGUACACACCGCCCGU